UACGUAGGGGCCUAGCGUUGUCCGGAUUUAUUGGGCCUAAAGCAUCCGUAGCCGGUCCUGCAAGUCUUCCGUUAAAUCCAGCUGCUCAACAGAUGGGCUGCGGGGGAUACUACAGGGCUAGGAGGCGGGAGAGGCAAGCGGUACUUUAUGGGUAGGGGUAAAAUCCGUUGAUCCAUAGAAGACCACCAGUGGCGAAGGCGGCUUGCCAGAACGCGCUCGACGGUGAGGGAUGAAAGCUGGGGGAGCAAACCGG
rnacentral:rRNA from 1 species